GACGAACGCUGGCGGCGUGCUUAACACAUGCAAGUCGAACGAGUGGGAACGGGUGAGUAAUACGUGGGUAACCUGCCCAUCCGAGGGGAUAACACUUGGAAACAGGUGCUAAACCGAUACUGAUGGAUGGACCCGCGGUGCAUUAGCUAGUUGGGGAGGUAACGGCUCACCAAGGCCACGAUGCAUAGCCGACCUGAGAGGGUGAGCGGCCACACGGGGACUGAGACACGGCUCGGACUCCUACGGGAGGAAGCAGUGGUGGAUAUUGCACAAUGGGCGAAAGCCUGAUGCAGCGACGUCGCGUGGGGGAUGAAGGCUUUCGGGUUGUAAACUUCUUUCGCUAUCGAACGGGUAGGUGGAGAAGAAGCGCCGGCUAACUACGUGCCAGCAGCCGCGGUAAUAC
rnacentral:rRNA from 1 species